UCAGUUUCUCAUUCUCUCACUCGUCUUCUUGUUUUCUCUCUACUGAAAGAAAAACAGUUGCACAAUUCUUAUAUUCACUUCUUCAAGUUCAACUUCUGUGUCCAAUCCAUCAUCAUCAAGUCUUACUACACAAAAGGAGAAGUGCUGAGGCUACCAAUUUCUUCAUCGUCUCUGUAUCAAUCUAUCACCGAUGACCACAUGAAAUGCAACUCCAACUACAAAUGCAACCCCAACAAGUACAGCUGAAGCGGUUGAAGUUGGUGAUAACAAAAAGAAGCACUGCAAAGUGAGAUCUAAUGUUUGGUUGGAAAUGACAAGGAUUAGUGAAACUCAUGCUCAAUAUCAUCACUGCAAGCGCGAAUAUGCUGCUCACAUUAACGUAAAUAGCACUGCUGGAUUACGAAAGCAUUUGAACAGUUGUCCAAGAAAUCCUAAAAAGAAGAAAGAUUAGUGAAACCAUGAUGAAUGUCAUCACUACAGCCAUCCUUUUUGUUUGCAGGAUGAUUGCAUUUCGUUUCUUUUCAUUGAGACAGGCUUAUGGAAAUGUUGGUUUUUACUUUUUAGUAUUUUGUAACAAAAUGAACUUAUGGAACUGUUGAACUUAAGUAUGUAAUGUUGAACAUUGAACUUAUGGAAAUGUUGUUUU